rnacentral:tRNA from 1 species
AAUGGAGUGCCUGAAAAAAGGGCUAUUUUGAUAGAGUAGAUUAUGUAUAUUUUACCUUCAUUA